UUUGGUUUAGUGUUUAAGAUUCAAGUUGAGAUUCGGGGUUUAGGGUCAGGGUUCAAGGUUCGAGUACGAGGUUCAAGUUUAAAUACGAAAAUCUACAUAGCAAUCCAUGCAUACUUUAUGCUAAUUUUAUGAUUCUUUUUAUUUUAUUUUUUGAAUUUUGAAAUUUUUUUACUUUUUAAUAUUUUAUAAUUUUUAAAUAUUAUCAUAUCAACAUGUGGAUUGUCAUGCAAG
rnacentral:lncRNA from 1 species